rnacentral:misc_RNA from 1 species
GAUGAAGAACGCAGUGAAAUGCGAUACGUAAUGUGAAUUGCAGAAUUCAGUGAAUCAUCGAAUCUUUGAACGCAUAUUGCGCUCUUUGGUAUUCCGAAGAGCAUGCUUGUUUGAGUAUCAGUAAACACCUCAAAGUCUUUUUUUUUUCUUGAAGAAAAAGACCUUGGACUUGAGCAAUCCCAACUCUUCUUUCAGAAGAGGCGGGUUGCUUGAAAUGCAGGUGCAGCUGGACAUUCUCCUGAGCUAAAAGCAUAUUCAUUUAGUCCCGUCAAACGGAUUAUUACUUUUGCUGCAGCUAACAUAAAGGGAGUUUGACCAUUUUGGCUGACUGAUGCAGGAAUUUCACAAGAGUCUUCAAAACGCUCUUGUUAAACUCGAUCUCAAAUCAAGUAAGACUACCCGCUGAACUUAAGCAUAUCAAUAAGCGGAGGA